CAAUCGAGUACGAUGCUGAAACACAGUCGCUAAUUGAAGCUGCCAAUAAAGCCCGUAUUGCCUAUGAUGAAGCUGAUCGUCGAUUGAGAGAUCUCGAUCGAGAAAUCCGUCAGUUGGAAGAAUUCAACUCCAAAGAUUACGGUCCCAAUGAAGAGUACCAGCCGCUGAACGGCCAGUGUUACGAGUACAGUGACAGAGAGUAUACUUACAAGCUGUGCCCGUUUGAUAAUGGCAGUCAACGACCCAAACAUGGAGGCAGUGAGACUCGCCUAGGUUCUUGGGAUUUUUGGGACGGUCCGGAGGGAAACAAGUUCGCAUAUAAAUAAUAGCACUAGCUGGUGCUAAAAAUGUGACAUAUUUCUCUGCUUCAUCAUUUUCCUGUGAAAACAAACAUUUUUGCAUGAAUUACAAACGAUGAAAGUGUUCCCGAAGCAUACCGUUUGAAUCUCCCAUUCUAACGAUGCAAUUUUCUCCUAAACUGCUUUGACAAUCUCAAAUAUAUCUUCGGCUUCGUGA